rnacentral:lncRNA from 1 species
AACGUGGGUAAAGCAGCAAAGGAAGGAAACUCAUGGGCAGAGAAACAUGGAGUGUCCAGGUGUCCUCUCCCCGUGGAGUCAUGCAACACUCAGUGUUGAUACCCAAAUAUCAGUAUGAGUCAUUUCAGCACCAGGACUACUAGAAGUCUCCACCUUUAUUGCUGACUGGCUGCCCGCUGUGAUGGAGGAGCUUAUAUCUGACCUUGCGAAACAUUGUCAUGAGGCACAAAUCAGACAGAUCUGAACCAGGACACGCAAGAUACAUCAACCACAAAUUCUGUUUAUCCCAGUAUAUGAAUGAUGAGACCUCAGCUAAACCAACCUAAUUGUAAUUGCGCAUGAGCUCUGUGUUCUAAACAAAACUAGACCUGCCAAAGCCCCACCAACUCUGCCCUGUGACUCACUGUACCUUCCAUGUUCUCAGUUGACUUUCCUAGCUCUCCCUUCAGAGAAGCUCAUGGUUCCACUAGGCUACUCUCUACCCUGUGAGACAAGCUAAUAAAAC